rnacentral:rRNA from 1 species
GAUGAACGCUGGCGGCGUGCCUAAUACAUGCAAGUAGAACGCUGAAGCUUGGUGCUUGCACCGAGCGGAUGAGUUGCGAACGGGUGAGUAACGCGUAGGUAACCUGCCUCUUAGCGGGGGAUAACUAUUGGAAACGAUAGCUAAUACCGCAUAAAAGUCGAUAUCGCAUGAUAUUGAUUUGAAAGGUGCAAAUGCAUCACUAAGAGAUGGACCUGCGUUGUAUUAGCUAGUUGGUGAGGUAACGGCUCACCAAGGCGACGAUACAUAGCCGACCUGAGAGGGUGAGCGGCCACACUGGGACUGAGACACGGGCCAGACUCCUACGGGGGGCAGCAGUAGGGAAUCUUCGGCAAUGGGGGCGACCCUGACCGAGCAACGCCGCGUGAGUGAAGAAGGGUUUCGGGUCGUAAAGCUCUGUUGUAAGAGAAGAACGAGUGUGAGAGUGGAAAGUUCACACUGUGACGGUAACUUACCAGAAAGGGACGGCUAACUACGUG